rnacentral:rRNA from 1 species
CCUACGGGCGGCAGCAGUGGGGAAUAUUGGACAAUGGGCGAAAGCCUGAUCUAGCCAUGCCGCGUGUGUGAAGAAGGCCUUCGGGUUGUAAAGCACUUUCAGUGGGGAAGAAAGCCUUGGGGCUAAUACCCUCGAGGAAGGACAUCACCCACAGAAGAAGCACCGGCUAACUCCGUGCCAGCAGCCGCGGUAAUACGGAGGGUGCGAGCGUUAAUCGGAAUUACUGGGCGUAAAGCGCGCGUAGGCGGUCUGAUAAGCCGGUUGUGAAAGCCCCGGGCUCAACCUGGGAACGGCAUCCGGAACUGUCAGGCUAGAGUGCAGGAGAGGAAGGUAGAAUUCCCGGUGUAGCGGUGAAAUGCGUAGAGAUCGGGAGGAAUACCAGUGGCGAAGGCGGCCUUCUGGACUGACACUGACGCUGAGGUGCGAAAGCGUGGGUAGCAAACAGGAUUAGAUACCCUAGUAGUC